rnacentral:lncRNA from 1 species
UAACUUCCGACCCGACUUUGAUCUUGCUGAAUCGGCCUCCUCGGCUUGGCGAAUCGCGUCCGGAUUCAGCUCCAGUACGCCGCGGAGGUAGGGGUUGAGGUCGUUGAUUCGGUCCAGGUAGAAGUUGACCAGCUGUUUGGAAGUUAGAGUGUUGUCGGCGAAGGCGAGCUGGAUCUGGUCGACGGUGGCUUCCUCGAAUGGGAAAUGCGUGGCCGUGACGGUGAAGAAUGCGGCGGAUAGGAGGAGGAGGAGCUGAGCUAUUGGUCCGCCGUUGUUCGCCAUUAUUUUGAUCGAUUUCUUACUUGUGGUUGUUCGGGAAAUAUUAGGGAUUUUGAAAAAGUCAAAGUCUCUGCCUGGGGAGAAGUGAACGGCUUACUACUCCCGAUGGCGGGAACAUGUGACGGAAUUACAAGCUGAUCACUUUAAUUAUGGAUACAUACAGAGAGAUCACUUAAUUUAAAACUUUAACGGCUUAGUGACUCAAGUUUAAAAUAACCAACAGAAUGAGAAUUUCAUGAUACAACAAUGACUGUAUUCUUUUUCAAUAUUGAUAACUUUAUGGUGAGAUUGAUUUAUGGAAGAUAAGAAAUUACAAGGAUAAAGAUAAGACUCAAAUGAAACUUUUUUCAUUGAUGAAUAAUUAGGAUUUCAUGUCACUUUAUUUUAAGAACAUUACAAACUACUUCCAUAACUAUGUCCAAAAUUUUGUAAGCCUUGAAAACUCAUUAGUCAUUAAAAAAACUCAAGCCACUAUCUCCCUUGCCAAAUGAAACCUUCGAAUGGGCUAAUCUUCAUUUUCACCAGUUGAUCACCCAAUUAAAUCAACCGAUUCGAAUAUGGUUUUUCAACCACUCAUAACCUCUUUUUUUUUAACCACCACUCAUAAACUCUUAGAUCAUCGUAUAUCUCAAACAUACAAACAGUCAUGCCAUUCCUAUUCCGGGAAAUAAUCUUAGUACUGCAUGAUAGCCUUGAUAUUACCUAAUCUCGUACUAUUCCGAGGCAACUAUCGAUCUGUCAGUUUUUUACCACGGAAUUGUGCGAACAUCGUUGCUAAUCGGACUGUUUGGUUGCUGUAAUUGCAUUCUAUGCAUAUACAAAAUUUCAUCUUCUAGCUCUGUUUACAGAAUUGUACAGACCGGCAAAUCUUAGUUUCGGGGUUGCUGGAAAUUGCUCCAUUUUGGGGGGUUGUAUUUCGAGCUGCAAUUUCGAGGUUGCUGGACAUUGAUGUUUUUGUUGUCCUAUGUUUGCAGGCGCCUAACUACCUGAACAUCAAGGGAUUGCUGGACCUGACCUGCCAAUACGUUGUGGACAAUAGAAAGGGAAGAUGCCCGAGUAGAUUCGCGAGACAUUCCACAUCAAGAACUAUUUCACCAAAGAGCAGGAAGCAGAGGUCCGGAAGGAGAAUGCCUGGGCAUUCGAGUGAAAACUAAGCAUUAUAUAUGACUUCUGUUAGGUCAUUCCUUUCUCAGUGUCUGUCAUUGAACCUUGCCUCUGGUUAAUGUAUCAAAGCAUAGUAGUUCAUCGAAUUUUAACUCAGAAAACUCGAAGCAGAAUAAUACAUCUCUGAGUUCAAUGGGAAGGAGGAGGAGAAGUGUGGAGGAGGGGGCUUACGUGCUUUCGUCGCUUGCUCGAACGAGUAAGCAGCCUCAAUGAGCUUAGGUUCGGUGCCUUUCAACCCUCCGAACACGAUCCCAAACGGCUUCCCCUCGGAACUGUACCCAGCGGGGACGGAAAUCCCAGGGUACCCACCAAUGGCUAGCACCGACGAAAUGUCCGAGCCCACCGUGACCAGUGCGUCCAGCUCGUGCCAUUUCAUCGUUGCUUCGAACCCUUCUUGUGAUAGAUUGUCCAUCGACUGAAUCGCCUUCGUUUCAUUCUUGCCUAUCCCGUUCGUCAUCUCCGCGGCCUCCAUAAGUUCUUGUCCGAACUCCUCCAUUUUCUCCUGCACCAUUAUCAUCAUCCACACAUUAUCCAUCGCCUGAUUCUCUCGCGUAACCACCGUUACAACACGAUUUCGAAAAAACAUUUACGUACCAGUUUUGGGUUAUUGACGUUGAAAGCGAGGAUGUCAGCCAGCGACCUCACAGGCGAUUCGACGAGGUCUUCUUUGAGGUAACGAUUAAUCGCAACCUUGAAGUCGGCAAUCAUUACCGCCAUUUCGCCGGAUUGAAACGGGUUGAGCACAAAUUCCACCUUAGCUAUCUCGACAUUGUCUAUAACAGUCGCACCCUCUUGAACGAACACUUCCACGUGGCGGUUGAAGGUAGUUAAAACGGUUGAGUCAUUGAACUUGUCUACAAAUGGACUUCUUACAAUGCCUAUCCUUUUCCCCUUCAACCCAUCCUUUUUCAAAAACUGUUUGUAUCCACCGCAAGGUAUGAACUUUGAUGCUUCUCUUGUUGCUACUCCGUCGCGAGGGUCGAACCCAACAAUUGCCUCUAACACGUAGACUGCGUCCGACACUGUCCGGCAUAUCGGCCUGCACCAUACCGAAUUGGUGAAUCUAACGGUUCAAAUUGAUAACCAAAACCGAGUACGAGAAAUCAAAUUUGAUUUUCAGAGGGAUCAAGGAUUGGUCUUUACCCAAUCGUGUCCGGGCGAGGAGAGACGGGUAUCACUGCCGGAUUGGAGUGAUUCUCGUCUCCCCUCUCUCCUCGCCAGGACCAGACCGAAUCAGUGAAGCUAACAGUUCAAAUAGCUAACCAAGUAUGAGAAUUCGAAUUUGAUCAAGGAUCGGUCUUUACCCGAUUGUGUCCUGGCGAGGGGAGACGGGAAUCACUCCGGCCCGGCUGGUUAGGCCGACUGUCGGUUUGAACCCAACGACCGAGUUGUGAUCAGCCGGGCAGAGUAUUGAACGGUCGGUUUCGGUCCCUAGUGACACAGCCACCAUGUUUGCAGCUACCGAGAUUGCUGACCCGCUGCUCGACCCGCACGGAUCUGCCCCUUCCACGUAUGGAUUCUGAGUGAAAAUCCAGAAAGCCGAAACUCAUUUCGAAUACUUUCGAAUGAGAACAAAGUGAUCUUAACAAAAAAACUGAUAAUCUAAAAUUUUAACUAACCACAGCUUGGCCGCCUCUGGCGGACCACCCGUUGGGAAUCUGGAAAGACCUGACGCGGUACCACUCGCUCUGGCUGGCCUUCCCUAAGAUGACGGCGCCGGCUUCCCGGAGCCGGUUCACAAAUUCGGCGGCAAGCCGCUUCACUACGCCGGCGUCACGUACGGCCGUCGAUCCCAGCAGCGCGUACGAUCCACACGUCGUGUUCAUCAGAUCCUUCGUCGCUAUCCCGUCCUUUAACAGAACAGGAACGCCAUGCAGAUCCCCUAACUUCCGACCCGACUUCGAUCUUGCUGAAUCGGCCUCCUCGGCUUGGUGAAUCGCGUCCGGAUUCAGCUCCAGUACGCCGCGGAGGUAGGGGUUGAGGUCGUUGAUUCGGUCCAGGUAGAAGUUGACCAGCUGCUUGGAAGUUAGACUGUUUUCGGCGAAGGCCAGCUGGAUCUGGUCGACGGUGGCUUCCUCGAACGGGAAGUGUGAGG